AACUAAAGAAAUUGAAUUAAUUGAAGAAAAAAUUCGGUCAGCACAAGUAAAUAGAAUAGAUCACUUAGCCCCACUCCAACUUUUGAUUUUUACUACUGCACAUUCUCCAACAGGCAUUAUUGUUCAAAAUACAGAUCUUGUGGAGUGAUCUUUCCUUCCUCACAGUACGAUUAAGACUUUUACAUUGUACUAGGAUCAAAUGGCUACAUUAAUUGGUCAGGCAAGAUUACGAAUAAUAAAAUUGUGUGGAAGUGACCCAGAUAAAAAUCAUUGUUCCUUUAAACAAGGAAUAGGUUAGACAAGCCUUUAUCAAUUCUGGUGCAUGGCAGAUUGGCCUUGCUGAUUUUGUGGGAAGUAUUGAUAAUCAUUACCCAAAAACAAAAAUCUUCCAGUUUUUAAAAUUAACUACUUGGAUUUUACCUAAAAUUACCAGACAUAACCCUUUAAAAAAUGCUCUGACAGUGUUUACUGAUGGUUCCAGCAAUGGAAAAGCCGCUUACACUAGGCCAAAAAAAGGAGUCAUUGAAACUCAAUAUCACUCAGCUCAAAGAGCAGAGUUGGUUGCCCGUCAUUUCAGUGUUACAAGAUUUUAAUCAGCCUAUUAACUUUGUAUCAGAUUCUGCAUAUGUAGUACAGGCUACAAAGGAUGUUGAGACAGCCCUAAUCAAAUAUAGUAUGGAUGAUCAGCUAAAUCAGCUGUUUAAUUUCUUACAACAAACUGUAAGAAAAAGAAAUUUCCCAUUUCAUAUUACUCAUAUUCGAGUACAUACUAAUUUACCAGGGCCUUUAACUAAAGCAAAUGAACAAGCUGACUUGCUAGAAUCAUAUGCAUUCAUAGAAGCACAAGAACUUCAUGCCUUGACACAUGUAAAUGCAAUAGGACUAAAAAAUAAAUUUGCUAUCACAUGGAAACAGGCAAAAAAUAUUGUACCACGUUGCACCCAGUGUCAAGUCCUACACCUGCCCAUUCAGGAGGCAGGAGUUAAUCCCAGAGGUCUGUGCCCUAAUGCGUUACGGAAAAUGGAUGUCACACAUGUACCUUCAUUUGGAAAAUUGUCAUUUGUCCAUUGACAGUUGAUACUUAUUCACAUUUUGUAUGGGCAACCUGCCAGUCGGGAGAAAGUACUUCCCAUGUUAAAAGACAUCUGUUAUCUUGUUUUGCUGUCAUGGGAGUUCAAAAAAUAUUAAAACAGAUAAUGGGCCAGGAUAGUGUAGUAAAACAUUUCAAAAAUUCUUAAAUCAGUGGAAAAUUACACAUACAACAUGAAUCUCCUAUAAUUCCCAAGGACAGGCCAUAAUUGAAAGAACUAAUAGAACACUCAAAGCUCAGGUGGUGAAACAAAAAAAGGAAAAAGACAGUAAGGAGUGUAACACUCUCCAGAUGCAACUUAAUUUAGCACUCCAUACUUUAAAUUUUUUAAACAUUUAUAGAAAUCAGACCACUACUUCUGCAGAGCAACAUUUUACUGGUAAAAAAAAAAAAAAAAAAAAAAAAGGACCACAUGAAGGAAAACUGAUUUGGUGGAAAGACAACAAAAAUAAGACAUGAGAAAUAGAGAAAGUGAUAACAUAGUGGAGAGGCUUUGCCUGUGUUUCACCAGGAGAAAAUCAACUUCCUGUUUGGAUACCCACUAGACAUUUAAAGUUCUACAAUGAACCCAUCGGAGAUGCAAAGAGAAUCGCCUCUGCGGAGACAGAAAACCCACAAUCGAGCAUCAUCAACUUGCCAGAUAAACAAAAUGGUGAUAUCAGAAGAACAGAUAAAGUUGCCAUCCACCAAGAAAGCAGAGCCGCCGACCUGGGCCCAAUUGAAGAAGCUGACACAGUUAGCUGAAAAAAGCCUGAAGAACACAAGGGUAGAAUGAACUCCAGAGAAUAUGCUGUCUGCAGCUUUGAUGAUUGUAUCAAUGGUGUCUACAGGUGUAUCCAGCAGCUCCGAAGAGACAGUGACCAGCGAGAACGGGCCAUGAUGACGAUGGCGGUUUUGUCAAAAAGAAAAGGGGGAUAUGUAGGGAAAAGAAAGAGAGAUCAGACUGCUACUGUGUCUAUGUAGAAAAGGAAGACAAGAAACUUCAUUUUGACCUGUACCUUGAACAAUUGCUUUGCCCUGAGAUGCUGUUAAUCUGUAACUUUAGCCCCAACUUUGAGCUCACAGAAACAUGUAUUAUGUGGAAUCAAGGUUUAAGGGAUCUGGGGCUAUGCAAGAUGUGCUUUGUUAACAAAAUGUCUACAGGCAGUAUGCUUGGUAAAAGUCAUCUCCAUUCUCCAUUCUCAAUAAACCAGGGGCACAAUG